AAUAUACUCCCUCCGUCCGGAAUUACUUGUCAUCAAAAUGGAUGAAAAUGGAUGUAUCUAGAAUUAAAAUACAUCUAGAUGCAUCCAUUUCAAUGACAAGUAUUUCCGGACGGAAGAAGUACAUA
rnacentral:pre_miRNA from 1 species